AUUGAACGCUGGCGGCAGGCCUAACACAUGCAAGUCGAACGAGUGGCGGACGGGUAAGUAAUGUCUGGGAAACUGCCUGAUGGAGGGGGAUAACUACUGGAAACGGUCGCUAAUACCGCAUACCAUCGGAUGUGCCCAGAUGGGAUUAGCUAGUAGGUGGGGUAACGUCUCACCAAUGCGACGAUCCCUAGCUGGCCUGAGAGGAUGACCAGACAGCCUGGAACUGCGACACGCACCAGACUCCUCCGGUAGGCAGCAUUGAAGAAAAUGGCCCAAUAGGCUCAAGCUUGAUACAGCCAUUCCGCGUGUAUGAUGAAGUCCUUCGGGUUGUAAGAGUCUUUCAGCGGGGAGGCAUUACCCGCAGGAAAAGCACCAGCUAACUCCGUUCCAGAAGCCGCGGUAAUAC
rnacentral:rRNA from 1 species